UGGUAAGUAGUUUAAACAAAACAAAUGAUUCCGACUCCUUAGAUUAUGACAACCAUACUGACCAA
rnacentral:tRNA from 1 species